rnacentral:rRNA from 1 species
GACGAACGCUGGCGGCGCGCUUAACACAUGCAAGUCGAACGGAAAGGCCUGCUUUCCCUUGUGGAUUGCGGGUACUCGAGUGGCGAACGGGUGAGUAACACGUGAGUGAUCUGCCCCCAACUUGGGUAUAAGCCUGGGAAACUGGGUCUAAUUCCCGAUAGGACUGCAGGGUGGUGCCUGUGGUGGAAAACGAUUUUCUAGUGGUUGGGGAUGAGCUCGCGGCCUAUCAGCUUGUUGGUGGGGUAAUGGCCUACCAAGGCGGCGACGGGUAGCCGGCCUGGGAGUGUGGACGGCCACAUUGGGACUGAGAUACGGCCCAGACUCCUACGGGAGGCAGCAGUGGGGAAUAUUGCACAAUGGGCGGAAGCCUGAUGCAGCGACGCCGCGUGGGGGAUGACGGCCUUCGGGUUGUAAACUCCUUUCGACCGCGAGGAAGCCACCUGGUUGGAAGGGUGGUGACGGUAGUGGUAGAAGAAGCACCGGCUAACUACGUG